CAUCUUUCGUCUUGUUAAUGUAGCUGGCAAGCAAAGCGGCGUUAUGAAUAAAUUUAAGUUGCUAUAGAAACAAUGUUCUGUUGAUUGUCACUUGUGUCAUAGAAAAUAAAAAGAGCUAUCCAUUGUGUAUUCCUACUGUUGUAAUAAAUUAAUUUCGUGGACAAAUCUAUCUUCUAUUUUUCUACUGUAAAAUCACACUCAGCCACACGCUCACACACGUCUGACAUUGAAAAGACAGGGAUUUUUCUUGUUUUGACGUAUUUUCUAACCUCUUAGAAUGUUAUUAGAAGUCGUAAUAAAAUAAUUUGAACAUAAAGCUAUGUUUUAAAGUAAAUAAAGACCAUUUAACGAUGUUAACAUGAUGAGACAUCGAUUUUAUGGAAUGGAGGAGAAGAUUUAACAGCUAGAAAUUAACAAAAAUCCUGCAAGAGCAUCGAGAUCUCGCUUUUGGCGAGUGGAAGUCCAAAGGCAAAGUGCAGCGGUUUGCAGUUCUUAGCCUCACUUUUUUGGACCUAACAAGACAGGAAAAGAAUAGUCAAAGAGGAAUCCCGAGUAGCCAGAUGAUAAUAUAUGAAACCAUGAGCAGCCAGCCAUUGAAACUCUCAGCAAUUUGAAUAACAAUUUUGAUUGAUUACCAAUCAUGUAUCAUACCUAUUAAUAGAAAAUUAAAACUGUUAGGUACCUAUGUUUUAAUUGAAAUUCAAAAUAUUGUUUAAUGUUUUAUAAGUAUUUAUUAAAUAAAUUGUCACACAUAUAUUUUGUUUUAAUCCCAUUAAUGUCUAUUUGCCCGCAAGUGUUGAUGGUAUUUCUUAAGUGUGCCUAGGAACCUUAGUCCUAUUACUUAUUCUGUGCCGGAGCUGGAUCUUUGUAAGGUUUGGGUAGGGUAGGUACCUGUAAUGAUUAAUAAAUGUUGAUGAGUAGAAUACUAUAACAUUAAUUUUAUAGUUAUUAGUUUAGGUAAAUAAGUUUAUUAAGAUCUAAAACUUUCUGGCUAAAACACUUACGAGCAAAGGUAUGGAAUCACCCUGUUGUGUUUUGUUCUGUAUGAUCUUAAGAACUGAAUGCAUAUGACAUUUGUAUAAAAUAGUUCAUGGAUAAAUCUUAUGUAGGCAUGAGUACCUACCUACUUCUCCGAGUAUGUUGGGGGUAUUGAGAGCAUUGGUUAAGUAAUUCCAAAUGCUUCUUCAUACCAUCAGUACCUUGGUAUGAACUGGAUGCAUCUUAAUGCAUAGCACAUAAUAUAACCUGUAAUAAUUAUUAUCUAUCAAAUGACAAAGAAAUCAUGUGGUAUGUAGAGUAGACAGAAUGUAUGAAUAAAUUAUGUACUUGCCUUGUGUUCCAAGGACACUCUUUUUGUUGCCAUAAGACUAUCUUUCCGGCAAUUUGUCACAUAAGUAGGUAUCUUACAGGGCAGAUAUGUACCAUCCUAGACUGCAUCCCUCUUAACAUCAUGUGCGAUU